GAUGGCAUUUCUAGACCAGUGACCGCAGGCUGGUCGUCCCACUCUCCAUUCCCUCCGUUGACAGAAUCUCAUCAAAGACUCAAACCCGAUGUCAACUCCGGGCACAUGCAUUCUUUGGAAGCACAGCCCGCAGCUCUUCCAGUGUGGGGUUCACACUGGACACGGGGACAGGUGCUGUAUAGUUCGCCGCUUGGAUGGUCAGGGUGGAUGGACUGGCGCCAUGAGGCGUUCUCCUUCGGGAAUGGAGCGUCCCUUAACGGGAACUUAAUAAAAUGCAAAGGAAUGUCUUUGCUCUGGUUUGGGAGACGUGAGAAUGCCCGGGGUGAGUUCUCCGUGUUUCCGUGGCCAAGGUGGUAAACCCUACAGAGACCUCCUUCUCAACAAAGAUGCUGAAGAUGUUUCUGAAGGUCCACUAAGGCUCGUGGGUUUUGGUUGCCCACUGGGGGAGCCUCUGAAAAGGAUUGCUGGUCAUCUCCAAUUUCAACAGAAUUCCAGAAGCAAUUCUUCUGGAUAAUCAGCAUUUCUGUAGAGCUUCUGAAGGCAUCUUCUUGAUCUUCCAAGGUCAAGGACCGCCCCCCCUCCCCUGAGCCAGGCAUAUUUGAAUUACAGCUUCCAGCCCUGGGUAUCGGCACGCCCUCAGACUGCUCAGAUAUCCUACUGAAGCCCUAGACUCCGGACUAAUGUCUUUUAGAACUAGAAUCCCUUCCUUGAUUAAACCAAGAGCGAGCUGUGCCUCAUCUAGUAUUCUGAACAGCCGGGAAUUUGCACCACAAAACAGAAUCUUGAGUUCUGGAAGGUGCCAAUGUUGGAGCAUUUAUAUGUCAUCAGAGAACCUAUUACAGCUUGAGGCCAUUGUACACAAAUGCCAGCGACCGUGUCCGUGAUCACAAAGGUACCUUCCAAGUCGAGGCUCAGGAUGGCUCCUGGCCAAGCCGACAUCUUCCACCACUGAGAUAACACACACGCCGGGAUUUGACAGAUGCCACAAUCCCAAGCUGAGAAGACGCGCUUCACAAACAAUUUGAACGUUGUAGGACCCUGGCCUCAGAUUCCUCCUCCUUGUUACAUGACAGACCUUAUGUUUCUUUUCCUCCCUGGAAGAGAGAGGGAAGAAAACAACAACAUAGUUCUGGAGAAGGUAGCUUGUUCCCUCGACACCGGAUCGUAAAAUUCCUCGGAGACAUUUCCCAGAAGCUGGAGAAAUCAUGCGGAUCUCUGGGACUGAACGAUGUUCUCCAGCCAGACACCAGACGUAUCUAAUAUCCCUGGGGACUUGGGUUUCGCGUGACUGGGUAUUUUGUUUGCUUUUACAAAAACAACUCUGUCUUCUCACUGUUGUGAUCACAAGGAGAAUUUCUGAAGCAAUUCUUGUCUCCACAUCAAGGCGGGCUUACCGCUCGUUCCCCAGGAGUUUCGUUGUUACCCAAUAUUACGGAUUUUCAAGAAAAUCGUGUGACGUUCUGUCUCAAGAAGGGCAGCGUCUAAUUUCGCCAGGAGGCUUUUAGAAACUUCUGGAAAUGCAUCGAACAAAACUGCUUCUGGGGAAAACAGCAGAGAUGCUUUAUACGUGCUGACAGCUCCAGGAGCCCCUGGGAAGUUUUCUGCCCGUCUGACUGUUUCCAAGGAGAGGGGUUUCAUUUCUGUGAUGAAACCAAAUAACGAGAUCCCUCCAAACAGAAAUAUAGCCUCCUUCUCUCUCUUCACGGAGGCCUAAAAUCCACUGAAAUUGUUUAUCACCUCCCGCCCUUGGUUUCCUUAGAUAAAUAAAUUUCUUAUUCUUGUGGGGA